CAUUAUGAAGCUUUAAGUAAGCCCAAACCUUUUGAGUUUGUAAUGGUAACUCACGCCUGCCCAUAAUGA
rnacentral:tRNA from 1 species